CCUACGGGAGGCAGCAGUGGGGAAUAUUGGACAAUGGGGGCAACCCUGAUCCAGCCAUGCCGCGUGUGUGAAGAAGGCCCUCGGGUUGUAAAGCACUUUCAGUGAGGAAGAACGCCUGGUGGUUAAUACCCAUCAGGAAAGACAUCACUCACAGAAGAAGCACCGGCUAACUCCGUGCCAGCAGCCGCGGUAAUACGGAGGGUGCGAGCGUUAAUCGGAAUUACUGGGCGUAAAGCGCGCGUAGGUGGCUUGAUAAGCCGGUUGUGAAAGCCCCGGGCUCAACCUGGGAACGGCAUCCGGAACUGUCAAGCUAGAGUGCAGGAGAGGAAGGUGGAAUUCCCGGUGUAGCGGUGAAAUGCGUAGAGAUCGGGAGGAAUACCAGUGGCGAAGGCGGCCUUCUGGACUGACACUGACGCUGAGGUGCGAAAGCGUGGGUAGCAAACAGGAUUAGAUACCCUUGUAGUC
rnacentral:rRNA from 1 species